GUCAGGGUAGUUCAGUGGUUAACACCUUGGACUACUGCUCGAAAGGUUGUUCGUUCAAAUCCCAGCACAGCCA